rnacentral:rRNA from 1 species
CGCACGGGUGAGUAACACGUACCCAACCUGCCGUCUACUCUUGGACAGCCUUCUGAAAGGAAGAUUAAUACAAGAUGGCAUCAUGAGUCCGCAUGUUCACAUGAUUAAAGGUAUUCCGGUAGACGAUGGGGAUGCGUUCCAUUAGAUAGUAGGCGGGGUAACGGCCCACCUAGUCUUCGAUGGAUAGGGGUUCUGAGAGGAAGGUCCCCCACAUUGGAACUGAGACACGGUCCAA